rnacentral:rRNA from 1 species
GUCGAACGGCAGCACGGACUUCGGUCUGGUGGCGAGUGGCGAACGGGUGAGUAAUGUAUCGGAACGUGCCUAGUAGCGGGGGAUAACUACGCGAAAGCGUAGCUAAUACCGCAUCGCCCUUCGGGGAAAGCGGGGGACCUUCGGGCCUCGCACUAUUAGAGCGGCCGAUAUCGGAUUAGCUGGUUGGUGGGGUAACGGCUCCGCAAGGCGACGAUCCGUAGCUGGUUUGAGAGGACGACCAAUAACACUGGGACUGGGACCUGGCCCAGACUACCACGGGAGGCAGCAGUGGGGAAUUUUGGACAAUGGGAAACCCUGGUCCCAGUCAUCCCGCGUGUGCGAUGAAGGCCUUCGGGUUGUAAAGCACUUUUGGCAGGAAAGAAACGGCACGGGAUAAUGCCCACGAUGCGGCUGACGUACCUGCCAGAAUGGCACCGGCUAACUGCGUGCCGGCUUAGCCACUGGUAAUACGUAGGGUGCAAGCGUUAAUCAGGUACUGGGCGUAAAAGCGUGCGCAGGCGGUUCGGAAGAGAAAGAUCGUAAAUCCCGACUUAACUUUGGAACAUUUUUAACUACCGAGCUAGGUGUGUCAGAGGGAGGUGGAGUUCCCGCGUGUAGCAGUGAAAUGCGUAGAUAUGCGGAGGAACACCGAUGGCGAAGGCAGCUCACAGUUGCUGGCCGCCAUGCACGAAAGCGUGGGGGGCAAGCAGGAUUAGGUACCCUGGUGGUCCGCCACAAACGAUGUCGCUAGCUGUUGGGGCGGGCCUUGGUAGCGCAACUAACGCGUGAAGUUGACCGCCUGGGGAGGCUACAGUCGCAAGAUUAAAACUCAAAGGAAUUGACGGGGACCCGCACAAGCGGUGGAUGAUGUGGAUUAAUUCGAUGCAACGCGAAACCUUACCUACCCUUGACAUGUCUGGAAUCCCGAAGAGAUUUGGGAGUGCUCAUAGAAACCGGAACACAGGUGCUGCAUGGCUGUCGUCAGCUCGUGUCGUGAGAUGUUGGGUUAAGUCCCGCAACAAAGCGCAACCCCUUAUCAUUAGUUGCUACGAAAGGGCACUCUAUUAGAGACUGCCGGUGACAAACGGAGGAAGGUGGGGAUGACGUCAAGUCCUCAUGGCCCUUAUGGUGGGGCUUCACACGUCAUACAAUGGUCGGGACAGAGGUCGCCAACCCGCGAGAGGCCAAUCAGAAACCCGAUCAUGUCGGAUCACCGAUGUAACUCGACUGCGUGAAGUCGGAAUCGCUGGUAAUCGCGGAUCAGCAUGUCGCGGUGAGCGUUCCCGGGUCUUGUACACACCGCCCGUCACACCAUGGGAGUGGGUUUACCAGAAGUAGUUAGCCUAACCGCAUCAAGGAGGCGAUUACCACAGUAGGAUUCAUGACUGGGGUGAAGUCGUAACUGAGACCAA